rnacentral:rRNA from 1 species
GAUGAACGCUGGCGGCGUGCCUAAUACAUGCAAGUCGAGCGAACAGACGAGGAGCUUGCUCCUCUGACGUUAGCGGCGGACGGGUGAGUAACACGUGGAUAACCUACCUAUAAGACUGGGAUAACUUCGGGGAACCGGAGCUAAUACCGGAUAAUAUAUUGAACCGCAUGGUUCAAUAGUGAAAGACGGUUUUGCUGUCACUUAUAGAUGGAUCCGCGCCGCAUUAGCUAGUUGGUAAGGUAACGGCUUACCAAGGCAACGAUGCGUAGCCGACCUGAGAGGGUGAUCGGCCACACUGGGACUGAGACACGGUCCAGACUCCUACGGGAGGCAGCAGUAGGGAAUCUUCCGCAAUGGGCGGAAGCCUGACGGAGCAACGCCGCGUGAGUGAUGAAGGUCUUCGGAUCGUAAAGCUCUGUUAUUAGGGAAGAACAAAUGUGUAAGUAACUAUGCACGUCUUGACGGUACCUAAUCAGAAAGCCACGGCUAACUACGUG